UCGAUUUGUUCUUCUUCUUCACCAACUCAUCAUCUCCAUCUCUUUCAACUCAUCUGAGUUCUAUAUAUUUUUGAAGAAUCAUCAACUUCAGUGGAGAAUGGAAGAAGGAAGAGGAUUAGAGCGAUGUGAACUGUGAAGGUGUUGUAAAUAGUCAUGUCUCAUGCUCCAACAAGUACAACAAUAGAGGUUGAAGUUGGUGAUAACAAAAACAAGCACGACAAAGUGAUAUCUGAUGUUUGGUUGGAAAUGACGAGGAUUAGUGAAACUCAUGCUCAAUGUCGUCACUGCAAGGGUAAAUAUGCUGCUCAGAAUGAUGUAAAUGGCACUACCGGAUUACGAAAGCAUUUGAAUAGAUGUCCAAAAAAUCCUAACAAGAAGAAAGAUUAGUGAAAAUUUUUAAGUAU